UACGCCCACAUCACUUUGAAACACUGGUUCUCGUACGAUCACUGAAGUUAAGCAACGUCAAGCCCGAUCAGUACCUAGAUGAGUGACUGCAGGAGAAUAUUAGAUGCUGGA